rnacentral:rRNA from 1 species
AUGCCUGAAGAGUGGAACAACACCAUGAUAGUUCUGAUUCCAAAAACAACUAGACCAGAGAGAUUGAAGGAUUUGCGACCCGUCAGCCUCUGUAAUGUGGUCUACAAACUAAUAUCAAAGAGGAAGAGGGGUGGAAGAGUAAGUUAUGCUGCUAUCAAACUUGACAUGAGCAAGGCUUAUGAUCGAGUUGAAUGGAAGUUCUUGCACGGAAUCAUGUUGAAACUCGGUUUCAAUAGAAGUUGGGUGCAGCUCGUGAUGAAUUGUGUGACAACGGUGAAAUACCAAAUCAAAGUUAAUGGGGACAUCACAAAGAUAAUUAUUCCUGAGAGGGGGCUUCGUCAAGAUGAUUCACUUCUUCUCCUAGAAGUAACUGCCGACAGCAGUCACGAGCUUAAUCAAAUUCUGAACUCCUAUGAAGCUUGCUCGGGCCAGGCUAUAAAUAAGGAAAAGUCAGCCAUCUUGUUCAGCAAGAAUACAAAGCUGGAGGACAAAGAGGAGCUCAUGAAUCAGCUAAAUAUUGCUAUAGAAGGCUUCUCCGGAAAAUAUUUGGGUUUACCAUGCUAUAUUGGUAGAUCAAAAACCAAAGCUUUUGAAUAUAUCAAGGAAAAAGUAUGGAAAAGGUUACAAGGUGGGAAAGAAAAAUUGCUCUCAAAGGCCGGUAAGGAAGUCCUCAUCAAAGUUGUAGCCCAAGCAAUCCCUGUUUAUGCGAUGGCAUGUUUUGACCUCACCAAAUCUCUGUGUGAAGAUGUCAGCUCAAUGAUUGCGAGGUUUUGGUGGAGUCAAUUGGAUAAAGAAAAUAAAAUCCACUGGGUUGGAUGGGACAAGCUCACAAAACCCAAAAAGGAUGGAGGGCUGGGAUUUAGAGACCUAUAUUCUUUCAACUUAGCUAUGUUGGCAAGGCAGGCUUGGAGAAUUCUACAAAACCCAUCUUCCCUAUGCGCUCAAGUGAUGGCUGCUAAAUACUAUCCAAAUCAGAAUCUGUUACAAGCGAGGCCAAGAGAUGGCAUUUCAUAUAGUUGGAGAAGCAUUUUGAAAGGAGUGCAGGUGUUGUAA